rnacentral:lncRNA from 1 species
GCGGCCAUGUUGUGAUUCCACAAUGUUUCCAAGCCUCUGUAUAAAAUAUGGUGCCCCUUCGCCUAUUUCACAGCCGCCUGUAAGAUUGCUGAAGCGUGGUUAAUAUUGGCAUGAUAUCGACAAAUUGACCAGACAAGGCGAAUUUGAAGUACAUAUUUAUCCCGGCGGUGCAACAGGGUUUGAAAAAAAUGCGUUUUGAGUUAAGUGAAUAUUCGUGGUUACAAAAUUUUCAACAAUCAUAUACGAUUUGUUAUGUAUAGCAAAGAUUAAAUGGUGA